AAUUUGGAGUGGUAACUGGGAAAGGGUAACUGCAAUAUUCUUCUUUCUUCUUCUUCUUCUGACACAGAUUUGGUACUGCCGAAGACGAUACUCCCUCUGCAAAAGUUGGUUAUAGCUUUCAUCUCCCAACGUGGCUUUGAUACGCAGGGAUUGCUUUCUUCACAGUCCAACAGAACGGGACGUACGGCGUGGCAGAGCAGCAAUGUAUACAGAGCCAAGCGCUCGAGACAAAGCAGCAGCAGCACCAGCCAUGAAAGCUCUGGAAACAACUCUGCAGCGUCUGAGGCCCCUAGUUCAGUCCAGAGCCUGGGACUACUGCGUCGUUUGGCAGCUCGGCGAUGACCCUUCCAGGUUUAUCAAAUGGAUGGGCUGCUGCUGUAAUGGUGGUUACGGUGAUCAUCCAUCUGCUUCCAUGGUGAACGAGGAGAGGGCAAGGGAAGAAGAAGACCGCCUGGUUCCGCUUUGCAGGGACUUGUUCUCCAGACAUCCUGCAAAAACGAGCGCUUGUGUGGCUCUUUCUCGCUUUCCUCCUUCUAUUCCCUUGUAUUCCGGAAACACUGAUUUACAGAGUUUUAAAAGCAGGGUUCAUGGGGAGGCAGUGAUAUCAAUGGAAGCAAGGUGGCUUAGCUGCACCGAGGAAUUAUUGAUUUCAAAUCAAUGCCAUGAGUCAACUGGAACCCGAGUUCUGAUCCCAGUUGUUGGGGGUCUUAUUGAGAUCUUUGCUGCAAAACAGAUUCCCAGAGAUCAGAAGAUAAUAGACCUUGUCGCUGAUCAGUGUAAAAUCACAAUGGCCCAAAAAGCCACAAGUGCACAGGACCACUCUGCAAUGAGGCUCAAUGCACAGCCUCAUGAUGCUGAAUACUCGAACAAUCGGCUAUCUCACCUUCAGUAUCUGAAUCUUUUUCCUGGGCUUCCAAUUCAUUCCCGGGUUUCCCAACCCGGUGCCUAUCCUGUCCUUGAAGGAUCACCGGCCAGUUCCAAUCCUUCAAAUGAACACUUCUCGAUGGAUUCAUGCUCUGGCCAUCCCUCUCCAAAUGUUUCAGUGAGUGAAUCAACUCGAAAACAUCCAACCUUGAAAAGGCCCAUUAGUAGCAGGGAUAUGCCGGUGAAGCAAGAGUUUGGCUUUCUUGUUGAAAGUACUCCUAAUCAUUUGGUUGAGAGAGAGAAUUUGAAGUCGAGGCUGAGCCUAGAAAGGGAACAGCACCAAUCGAAGAAUCUGAUUACGGAGAGAAACAGGAGGAAGCGGAUUAGAAAUGCGCACUUUGCCCUACGCGCUUUGGUCCCCAAGAUCACCAAGAUGGAUACAGCUUCAAUACUAAAAGAUGCAAUCGAAUAUAUCGAGGAAUUGCAGGAGGAGGAGAAGAAACUCGUUGAUGAGCUCAGAGAAAUGGCGAAAGAGGAGUUUGACAAUAAGAAUGGUCACCCGAACAUCCCAGAAGCAGGUGCAUACCAAGGCACCGGAAACUCAAAUGCCACCAUGCAAAACAAAGACCCGUCUAGCGUCGAUGAGAAGAAACACAUGGAGGUGCAAGUGGAAGUGAACCAGAUUGGUGCAAGGGAUUUCUUGCUCAAGUGCUUGUGCAAGAAGAAGCAGGGCGGGUUCCUGCGGUUGAUGGAGGCUGUGGAUUCUCUCGGGCUUCAAGUGAUCGAUGCUAAUAUCUCAGCAUUUAACGGCAAGGUCUUGAACAUUCUCCGGGUAGAGGUGAACAACAUGGAGAUCCAACCGAAAACAUUGAAAGAUUCAGUAAUCAAAAGCUGCACGAGCAGAUCGUCACGACAGUCGAGUAUGGAGAAUCCAUGAAGAGAAGAAGAAGCUGGCAGAUUCCUUAAUGAAAUGAGCCAAUUCAAAUGGGAGAAUUGAGGGCUCUCUCCAUUGGUGCCAGUCAGGGACUGCUGCGAGGGCAAGGACAUGGCCGGUUGAAGGUCAACGGUGCUUAGAUUGAUAGUCGUUGUAAACUUUGGGGUUUUAGUAUGUAUUUCAGUUUGUGUAUGAACAAUUGUACGAUAACGUUGUUAUCAUUUGAUCAUUUGUAUUACAUAUUUUGUUAUGGAAA